rnacentral:ncRNA from 2 species
ACGACGGCGGCUGUGGGGUGUCACAGUUCGAGGGACAAACGCGUAGGUGACGCGGUAAUCCGGUGCAAUUCCGGAGCGGUCGCGCCACUGUGUUCCAGCCACCGGGUUCGGUGCCGGAAAGCCAGACACCGGCACCUUCGCGACCACUCGA